CCUACGUGCGGCAGCAGUGGGGAAUAUUGGACCAUGGGCGAAAGCCUGAUCCAGCCAUGCCGCGUGUGUGAAGAAGGCCUUCGGGUUGUAAAGCACUUUCAGUGGGGAAGAAAGCCUUGGGGCUAAUACCCUCGAGGAAGGACAUCACCCACAGAAGAAGCACCGGCUAACUCCGUGCCAGCAGCCGCGGUAAUACGGAGGGUGCGAGCGUUAAUCGGAAUUACUGGGCGUAAAGCGCGCGUAGGCGGUCUGAUAAGCCGGUUGUGAAAGCCCCGGGCUCAACCUGGGAACGGCAUCCGGAACUGUCAGGCUAGAGUGCAGGAGAGGAAGGUAGAAUUCCCGGUGUAGCGGGGAAAUGCGCAGAGAUCGGGAGGAAUACCAGUGGCGAAGGCGGCCUUCUGGACUGACACUGACGCUGAGGUGCGAAAGCGUGGGUAGCAAACAGGAUUAGAUACCCCAGUAGUC
rnacentral:rRNA from 1 species